AUCAAAAUACUACAUCUACAGGUUUUAUUUUGUUAUGAAAAAAAAAAAAAAAAAAAACAAGCUCACAGGAAAUGCUCCUUACACACAUCACUGCCUACAGAUGUCUGCUCUAUGAAUAUUCUGACCGUAACAGUCAAUAUUUGGAAACGCCCAAAAGUUGCCCCUUAGGAAUACUCAGGGCCAAAGGAAGAACUGUAAUACUGAAUUUCCUUAUGAGACUGAACACAAAGAAAUUCUCAGAAACAUACAGCAUGCUAAAAAAAAAUAAACCCACAAAUUUGCAUAGUGUCAUGUGUAUGUUCUGUUUAGCUCAGUUCUGUCUUGUCUGCAUAAAGGCGGGUGCACACUAUGCGACUUUGGCCACGAUUUGGUCGUCUGAGACAAAUUUUGAGAAUCUUAAAAGAUUCCUCUGAUCCUAGGCUAAAAUCUGUAGUCUUUGAUCGUAUAGUUGACAUGUUCACCAACAGCCAAUUAAUGACCGCUGCGAUCAAAUGUCAGAAGAUUUGGCGCACAGUCCAGCAGUGUGACUUCUCCUACGACGAACGUCAAAUUGUCUUCGUUUUUCAAGACAAGCCGUGAUCAAAGUUAACACUAGAGAUUUUUUUUGUUAGUCACCAUUUCAGUCCUGCGUGUAAUGCAGCUCACAGUCACUGAACAAUGCACAUUGUGCGAUUUAUAAUAGUCUUUUACGAUUGUUGCUUGUCAGACUGUACGACAUCUCAGCUGUCAUUUAUGUCAGACUGUACGACUGUACUUAAAAAGGAACGCGUGCAUGAAAACUUUUCCGGAGUUUUAUAUCAACCCAUACACGCGUAGUCCUAGUUACGACUUUGUAGCGUUCCAGGCAAGUCACGAAAAACUGCCUGAGUGUAAACACACCAGCAUGGCGGACCAUAUGGGGCUUAUGCUCAUUUACAAUUAUUUCUAUCGCCAAAGGUGCUUACUCCUUGCUUAUUUGAGGGAAACGGAGGAGAAAAAACGGCACAUAAAGCAAGAUAAGCUGUUAUACCUUUUAUUUUACGUUAUUUUACCGUGCACUUGCAUAAACACCGCAUCCAUAGGGGCUGCCAUUGUUGUUUCGCGGCAUUAGUCACUAUGGUUUUGGUGGAUCCAAAAUAGUCAAUAUUCAUAUUCAUUCAUUUUAUUCAUAUUUUAUGUUAAUAAGUUAUGGCUUAUGAUUUAUCGAUAUUACUUUUGAUUUCAUAUAUUCAUGUACUCCUUUAUGGUUAUUCUUCUAUGCUUGCUAUAUUCAAUUGUUCUUCAAAGUGUUCCAAUAUGACAGAUCAUGUUGACACGUUUGUGGUUAGAUAUUGGACGUCUGCCAAGUACUGCAGAAGCGAUGUUUUCGGAAUUAGUUGCUCGUUUGAACUCGAUGUACCUUUGUAUCAAAAUAUGUCCAUUUCUAUUUCUGCUGACAUGUGAUAAUGCAAGAUCUGCAAAAUUCCCUAAAGGGUGUCAAAACAACCCCUAUAUCUUUUUUUUUUUUUUAUCUAGUUUUAACAUAAUGGAUAAAUCCAUUUGACCUUUUCUUAUGAGAACAAAACAUAAGUUUGAGUGGGAUGUUUUCCUAUAUGCUUAUGGUACAAAACGGACAGGGUCUUUAAUAGUUUAGCUUUUUUCCUUUGCUUCUCUUUGCUCUUCUACUUCUUCUCUUCUAUCUCUCAUUUCAUUCUGCAAAUGCUUUAAUUUUGUUCCUUCUUUCUGUAUACUCUGAUCUUCAUCUAUUAGAUACAAUACUCUGGAUUUUACAAUACUCUAAAUUUUAUUAUUAACUGUUAAUUACUUAAUGAAUUUAUUUGUCUCUAUAAUUUUUAAUUAAUAAAUUUGUUAUUCCUUAUUCAAAUUUGAUCUCUGACAUAAUCAUUGCUGGACUGCCUGGAUCUCAUUUUCUCAAGUUUUUGCAUCAGGUUUCUAAUUAGUUAAGUCUUGUCAGCUAUUCCCAUUUAGUUUCCUCAUUCUCUGUGUAUUAAGUUCCUGCCUGUUUCCUGUUCAUUGUCGGUUAUUGUUUGUGUGUUACUCCUGUUGCACUUCCGCCUGCUUGUUGAAUUAAACUUUGUUUAUUAUUGUGAAUCUGCAUUUGUCUACCUUCAUCCCAUGACACAUAGGAGAUCUAAAAAAAAUAGCCACCUUGUCCAAACUUCUCUAAAAUCUAUGAGCCUCCCUCUCCCUACUCCCUUUCCUUUUCAAGUCACUGAAAGUAAACUAAAAAUGUCUAUUUACCACAUAAUAAGGUAGUGAGCAAAAGUGAUGUCCAGCUUAGGAAAAUUGACAUCUUCACUCUUUUUUCACAUUUUAUUAAAUAUUUGUUAAAAUUUUGUAAUUGUGCAGUUUUUCAUAUUGUGCAGUUGUGAAUCCACGUUUUAAGAUGAGUUACACAACUGAAGACAGCAUAACAUCAAUACAAGCCAGACUGAAAUCUGGAAUGAUGACUGUGGCAGUGAUGAUGUCUCCCCCAGAACCACCAGGAGAAAACACUGAGGGUGCUAAAUGUACUCCAAAGAGAAAGAAGACAACGUUGGGUUGCUACUUUAAAACUAUUGAACAAGACUUGCCAAGCCUACCUAUCAACCAGAAACUAAGUGUAACUUGUGAGCUGCAGGCCUACUUACAGUCACACAACCUAGAUAGUGAAGGGGAUCCACUAAAAUGGUGGAAGGAAAAUGAAAAGGUCUACCCAAGGCUCUCAAAAGUGGGAAAGAAGUACUGGUGCAUACCAGCCACAAGUUCCCCUUCAGAGAGGGCUUUUAGCAUCCCUAAAAAUGUAUUAUGUUGAUAGGCUAUUUCUAGCCAAAAACCUGUAACGUAACAUACAAAUACAUGUAGGCUAUAGAAUUUGUGUAUUCGUGAUUGAAACAUGUUUUUUCACAUUGAACUUUUGUUAUUUAAUUUUGUUAUUAACAUUUGCCACGUGAAAGAGUCCCACUUUUAUUUUUACCAGAAUACAUUUUCUUCAGAAAUUUAAAUGACUUUCAGAAUUUAUGUUCUGCUUAUAACAUGUAUUAUUUGGAUGUAAAGUGAAAUAAAUAUGCUGAAGUGAAAUUUAAAAA